UACGUGUACGCUUUAGGCUGAGGCUUGAGGACGCUUCGUCGCUGCAGUGCUUGAGAGGCGUUCUCACUCAAGCUUGUCUUCUCUCGCUACUUUCUCAGUAUGGUGACCAUCAUACCAUGAUGAUCAUCACGCUUGUCCGUACGAGCAUCGCCGUUAUUUCUGGAGAGCAUACAUGACAUUCGAUAUCACCCGGCUGGAAGAAGAAGAAGAACAGCUCGAGCCAGUCAUUCUGUUCUGACCUCCAGUCUGAGAAACGGUCCUGACAUUUCGUUGCACAGCUGAGCUGCACCACACUCUUUGAUUCUUCCGAGAACAGUUGUUUGCCAGCGAUAACUGCGAAGAUGGGUGAAGAGUCGGCAAUGUCGUCGAUGUCUGGCAUGUCUGGAAUGGAAUCCAGUCAGUCCACGGGGACUGCGACUGGCGGAGCAGGUGCAG